rnacentral:rRNA from 1 species
UACAGAGGUCCCAAGCGUUGUUCGGAUUCAUUGGGCGUAAAGGGUGCGUAGGUGGCGCUGUAAGUCGGGUGUGAAAUUUCGGAGCUUAACUCCGAAACUGCAUUCGAUACUGCAGUGCUUGAGGACUGGAGAGGAGACUGGAAUUCAUGGUGUAGCAGUGAAAUGCGUAGAGAUCAUGAGGAAGACCAGUGGCGAAGGCGGGUCUCUGGACAGUUCCUGACACUGAGGCACGAAGGCCAGGGGAGCAAACGGG